rnacentral:lncRNA from 1 species
CAUUUGCUGCUAAAAUAUUCUGGUACGUUUCUGGUUCCAAGUAUUGCCAAACAAGCCCACAUCAUAACCAAUCAUGCUUGUCAGUUGGUAAGAGGAAAUUUAGAAAACAAGUCCUGUUUUAAGCUAAUCUGUCCACAUCACGGAGUUCCAGAGGCACUGUGGCUUGUUCAGAUGGAGCUCUGCAAACCUCUGCUUCCUUGUCUUCUGUGACAAUAGAGGCAUUUGCAUCACUGCUGUUUGAAAUAAACCAUUAUAUAAAGGGGUUUUAAACGUUUUAGUUCAUAAACUUUGUUUUAAAUAUUCCCAUUGAGGAUCUAAGAUGCAAUUCGCGAGCUCUGUCUUCUCUUUUUAUAGUUUCGGAAGUAUUUUACAAAUUGGCUUUGGAGCAAACUGGCCGAGAUUCUCAUCUUAUUAAAAUUUGUUCUUUUUGUACGAUGAAGUGUUGCAACAGCUGCUUCUUUUGGAUCAUUGGUCAUGUUUUAUUUUCAAGCUUUUGUGUUAAUAAAUACCUGAAAUAUCCAGCGGAGAAAACUGAACAAACUUGUUCUUUUCUCACUGUCUGGUGUUGAUCAGCCGAUCAAAGCUAUGGCAGUAAACUUUUUUCUCCUUUUUGAUUCUACUUUUGUCAAUUUAGAUCGUAGAUUUUACGUUAGAAAUUUUUACUUUAAGACAAUCGUGGUGCAAAAUAUCUAACAAGUGAACAAAAAUCAUUCAAUUUCGAAAUCCCUGUCUUGUUUUUUGUCCUCGAGAUUUUUAAAGUUCACAGAAAUUUAAAGAAAUCUUUUCUUUCCCGUGAUGAAACUGUGGAAACAACCUCACAGCUUGACAUAUUUUUAGAAUUGUAUUUCUGUCUUUAGGUAACUGUUUGGACUUAAAUGAUUCAAAGCAGAGGCUUGAAAAUCUGACUUUGCAAGCAGAGAUGCCAGGAAAACAAACAUGUACAUGGAUCUGCAAGUGGAUGCAUCAGAAUGGAGCAGAGCAGGGAGCUUGCCGUAGCCGAAGGCUGACAACAGGGCCAGGUCACACUCACCAGUGGAAUUUGGACGACCGCAGUGCUGAUGAUGAGUAAUAUGGGAGAGGAAAUCAAAAUACGCCACUGCUUUAAAACACACACACUCACACACUAGUGGGAAAAGUCCAAAUCACAGCUUUCCAUUUGCUUUAUUUGCAAAAAGAAAACCAUGUGCAGAAGAGCAAUUUUCUAAACUCCCAUUAGAAGAAAUAUAAAUAUAUUGACAAACAGUAGGUGGAAGU